rnacentral:rRNA from 1 species
UACAGAGGUCCCGAGCGUUGUUCGGAUUCAUUGGGCGUAAAGGGUGCGUAGGCGGCAUGGCAAGUCGGGUGUGAAAUCCCGGGGCUCAACCCCGGAACUGCACUCGAUACUGUCGUGCUAGAGUGUUGGAGAGGAGACUGGAAUUUACGGUGUAGCAGUGAAAUGCGUAGAUAUCGUAAGGAAGACCGGUGGCGAAAGCUAGUCUCUGGACAACUACUGACGCUGAGGCACGAAGGCCAGGGGAGCAAACGGG